AAAGAAGUAACAAACAGGCUAAAGACAUAAUCUUGAGUAGGCAAUGCCUCUCACAUCAUGCUACAACCAUUCCCUCAAACCCACAGGACGUGAAUCCAAAACAUGACAACCUUGACCCAUUGAAGCAGCAAGAUCAGCUAAGUAGUCUGCACUGGUAUUCAACUUAGAAUGUUGAAUAGGGUCAUCACUGUAUAACAACCUUAAACGACUCAUAUUUAUAGAUGGAUGAGCACCUUUAAGCAGUUUUACCAAAUCUAACAAUAUUGGUUCCACAGAAAUCUUCAAUUCUGGCAGAAUAAUAAUAUUAAAAUAUUGUUUCAUCUGCUAUUUUGUUGAGGGACUACUGAUCUCUCCAAGUGUGGAAUGGUUAUAGCUGAUUGCAAAAAUUUGUUAAUUCAAUUAGUCAAUGCUUCAAUGGCUUGGGUUAGAAGACAAGUUAAUCGGUCAAACUCAUCCUAUAGUAAGGAAGGCUUGUUUCUAUGCCAAUUUUCAUAUUUGGGAUAUUACUCCUAAUUUUAUAGAGAAUCUUGUAUAAUUGCCGAAUUGGCUUUGCAUAGCUCAUAAUAUUACCUCUUCUCUAAAAAAAUAUUGUUUAAAAAUUCACUUAUCAUAAGACAUGGCUUCAUAAGAAGCCAUUUAUCAUAUGACAUGGCUUCAUAAGAAGCUAUAUUAUCCACUUAUCCAUAAGUUUCAUAUUUGGUGAAAUUAACUUACUUACUAAAAUCC
rnacentral:lncRNA from 1 species